rnacentral:misc_RNA from 1 species
GAAGAAAUUCAGGAAGAUGGCACUCGCGACAAGUCAAGAAUAUGCCAGCAGUGAUCAGUACAGUAAUCCAACGAGCGAAUAUGGACUAAACCCGUCUGGAUCAAGUAGCGAAGGCCAUCAAACUGCGGAAAUGGAAACGGGUCGGAUGAGAAAAGACAGCAGAGGAUUCAGUGGAAGUAAAGGCUUCAGUGGAACUUCUUAGUACACAAGAAACUCCAUUUCUGUAUAGUCUUUUCAACCUCUAACUCUUUUAUAACAUGAAUGCUUCCACAAUGAUGAUUUAUUUUGGUCAAUAUACAGAUUUUUUUUUCCCUUUUUUAAAUGAGAUAAGUUC